rnacentral:rRNA from 1 species
AUGCACGCUGGCGGCGUGCCUAAUACAUGCAAGUCGCGCGAACAGACGAGGAGCUUGCUCCUCUGACGUUAGCGGCGGACGGGUGAGUAACACGUGGAUAACCUACCUAUAAGACUGGGAUAACUUCGGGAAACCGGAGCUAAUACCGGAUAAUAUAUUGAACCGCAUGGUUCAAUAGUGAAAGACGGUUUUGCUGUCACUUAUAGAUGGAUCCGCGCCGCAUUAGCUAGUUGGUAAGGUAACGGCUUACCAAGGCGACGAUGCGUAGCCGACCUGAGAGGGUGAUCGGCCACACUGGAACUGAGACACGGUCCAGACUCCUACGGGAGGCAGCAGUAGGGAAUCUUCCGCAAUGGGCGAAAGCUUGACGGAGCAACGCCGCGUGAGUGAUGAAGGUCUUCGGAUCGUAAAACUCUGUUAUUAGGGAAGAACAAAUGUGUAAGUAACUAUGCACGUCUUGACGGUACCUAAUCAGAAAGCCACGGCUAACUACGUG